UCGAAGGCACAAAUUUGCCAAUAAUAGAACCAGAUAUAGACAGAAAGAACAUCUUCACUCCCACUUAAUCCAAGCAAUUCACACCAAAAAAGUCUCCAACUUUCCUUUGGUUCCAGUCAAUCACAACUUCAGAAACAACCUUGAAUAAUCUGCAUUCAAGAGGUCAACUGAAUUAAAAAUAUUGUAAGUAACAAGCAUUUGGGCUGGUGAUAUUGUUAUAAACGUGUUGUCAAAGAUUUGUAGAAACAAACUAAACGAGCUCUAUCUUCUUUUCACUGUUUUUUUCUUCUGAGGAUAGAAAAAAUAGAAAUACCUCUGUUGGACCGCUCAAGUAGUAAAAGGGAUCAUUGCCCUUGCCUACACAUGGGCCAUGGCUCCAAAUUCAUA
rnacentral:lncRNA from 1 species